AAGACAAACAUUCAUUUAAAAAGUCUUUGCUAGAAAGAGACUGCUGUAUUAAAGAACCAGCAUUGCUUCCCAAUGUAUCUGCUAAAUCUCCAAGGACCCCAAUGGCAGUUUUCAUUACUACAUCAUCCAUAUCCUUCUCCAUAUAUAUACUAUCCAAGAACUGAAGGAUGUGUGGUGCAUAAGGAAUCAAAAGCUGAGUUUUAGGAGAGUUCUUAAACCCUUGAAGAAUCCCUGAAUACGCCUCCAAAAUCCCAUUUCUCAAUGAAUUUGCGUACUCAGUCAUUUCAUCAUCAGCACCAGCUGUAUGGGCAGAUAAAUCUGCAGCACUUUGGAGCAUGGGCAUCGCAUACAUCAAGUACUUCUCAAAAUUCUCACCUAUAGCUAGUGCAAUGUCACCAAAGCAUGAGAAAAUGGGAGGCUUCACAGACCUGUGCAACUGGCUGCUUGAUAAAUCUUUGAGAAGCUGCGUCAUAAUCCCAUCACAAUAUGGCAAAAUUUUAUCCUCCAAUGCCCUGCA
rnacentral:misc_RNA from 1 species